AAGAUAUCUUCAUAAAUCAAAAAUUGUAAAUAAAUAAAUAAAUCAGUCAGCCCUUUUCCCACGAUGUCGUUUUUUAAUCCUGAUAUUCCACUUAAAGAAAAAAUUGUAACACAUCACCCAUGGGAAAAAUAUAUUAAAGACGCUUACGCGAGCACUUAUAAAUAUGGCCAUAAUACUGCUAAGAACCCCGUGACUCAGUAUCCAGCUCCAAAGGAAGAAAAGAAGCCCAGUUUUAAUCGAACGAAAUUCACAAUUAUUGGAAACCGAACCACAAAGGAAUUCAUUUACUGUACAGAUGUAGUAAAAGGACUACACAAAUAUAGAUGGAAAUACUUUGAUGCUCCGAUUAUACAGGGUGUAACUGGCGUGGAAUGGCCAAGAGCAUGGAACGAGUUAAAAAUCAAAUAUGGCCACCCAGUUUAUUGCUUACUAUCUCAAGUUGCUGUCCUAAUGAAUGACCAAUUUCUCGGAGGAGCGAAAGAGUUGAAGGAAUUAGUUGAAUCAAAAUAUGUGUAUAACUUGCAACCGGAUUAUUAUCGGGAAGCUGUUACUCAGUUUUCUAGCUUUAUAAAGUCGUCUGGAAGACCAUGUGCUUACUUGCAAGUUUCUAUUGACGAAGAAGAAAUUGGAACCUUGAUUUUUAUGCUGUAUGCUGAUAUAGUACCUCGAACUUGUGAAAAUUUUCUUCGUCUCUGUAAGGAGACAAAAGGUGGCUACUCGGGAACUCCUAUUCAUCGCAUUGUUAAAGACAGCUGGAUCCAAUGCGGAGGAUUUGGUCUUAAAGAUUCUGGUUUAGAUUGCGAAAACUUUAUUGUCACUCAUGAUAAGCGAGGAGUUCUCGGCAUGGCUAAUGAUGGCAGACAUGUUGACUGCUCAACCCAAUUUUUUGUUCUACUACAACCACAACCGUGGAUGGCUCAUAAAUAUGUGGCGUUUGGACAACUUAUCGAUGGUGAAGAAACGCUGAAAAAGAUAGAAAAUGUCCCCGAGUAUUACGAGUCUCCGAAACAGAGUAUUAUCAUCUACAAGGCUGGCAUUUUAAAUAUGGACUGCCAUGAUAUUAUGAUUAAUAGAGGAGCCAAUAAAUAUAUAGAAGGUCAUGUUGACAAUCUGGUAGAACUAGGAGAACUUUUUUACGAGGCAUUGCUGGAGAAAGUAUUUUUGGAGGCAGACUUUAGGAACUUAGAACGUCUGCAAGCAGAAGUAGGAGGGGAAGAUGCUACUCCUGAAGAUGCUACCAGAAACGUGCAUGCGACUCAACGGUUCAUGAAAAAAAAAGAAGAUAUACAAAAGCAAAUAGAAAAAAGUCAGGCCAGCGGAAGAGCUACGCCAGCUGCUGAAAACAACGAUUUUGCUGUUGAAGAAUAUGAGUAUGAGCCCGAAGAAUAUUCCUAUAAGCAGACGACAGCACCAGCGAGCAGUGUUGUCAAGCCUGAAAAACCAUUUUAUAUUCCUUUGACAGACGUGCCAUAUCCUGGAGAAGUUGACUCGACGUUCGAUCUCAAGAAACUGCUCCAGGGAGACUAUUGCCUUGAAAUGGACUUAGACAAAGAAUUGAGAAGAGGAAAAAAAAAGCCAGCCGAAGAAAAAAGACUAUCAGUCCCAUCGGAAAUUUUUCAAGCGUUAUUUGAAGGCGGUUCUUCAGAAUCUUCCUCUCAACAAAGUUUAGAUUCUGAGGAAGAGAGAGAAAUCAAGAAAUACCUACAAUCUAAUGCUGAUCGCGUCAGUUUUGCUGGAGGCACCGUGAAGGCGGUAGCAAAAAGUGGCAAAUUUAACUUAUUUGAAAAUCAAAAAGGGUCUGAUAUGAUUACUGAUGAGGUGCUGCGAAAAUACAGAAUUGCUGAAGAAGAAUACAAGGCUCAUCGUGAUAAAAAAGUAUCGAUCAGCUUACCCACUGCGCCGGACACGCACAGAGAAAUAAAAAGACGUCAAACCGGAUUUGUACGUCCGGAAGAUUUGGCUAGGAUACGCCAAUUCCAAAAGGAAUCUGCUGAUGAUGACGAUGAUGAUGAAGAUGACGAAGAUGAUGACGAUUACCGCCCCUUCACUAGACAAGUAGCAAUCCAACCCGGCAAGGAUAAAACGGCCCAAAAAAAAGAGGUUAAACGCCGCCAGACUGGUUUCGUCCGCCCGGCCGAUUUAGAAAAAUUACAUAUUUUUGCCAAAGCAACCUCCGAUGAGGACGUGGAUGACGAAGAACCGAAAAAAACGGAAAUGAGGGUUUCUAUUUUGGAGGAAGAUGAUGACUCGCAAGCCGAGCGACCUUCGGUGCUCGCCCGCCUUUAUGAUGAAGCGGGCACGGACGAUCUAGAAGGGCCCACCUUGAAAUCCAUGAGCACAAGACGACUAACCGAUGUCAAGGAUCCGAAUAUGUUCCUUACAUUUUCACCGACCAAACACCUCCAAUCGACAACCACUUCGCGCGAAAUGUACAGACGCCGUUCGUUUUCCUUAGAAAACUUACCUCAAAGAUCUAUCGACCAAGUUCUGCUAUUACAACACGGACAAAGCGUAUAUCGCAAGAUAUCUUCCGACUACGUUAGGACUAUCGAUCACAUCGAACAAAAGGAAGCAAACUCUAUAAGGAGUGUGGAAUACGCAAGAAAACGACCUGCGUUGUCAGUUCAAGAGUACCAAAGGAGGAAUAGGGAAUAUCAGGAGCGAUUGUCCAGAGUCAGUGCUGACGAGAAAAGAAAAAUCGAACCAACGACGACCCAGGAUGCAACUACAUCUUACAAUGGUCUGCGGCUGCCGGGUGACUCGCCACUUUAUAUUUCUAAUAUAGAAUUACCGAAUUUUGAGUUUGCGUAAAAAAGACGAGAACUUUAUUUAUCAAUCCUCAUAUCGUGCAAAAUUCACCGACUUAGCUCCUUCGGCACAAGUGGAACGAGGAGUUCUUAUAAAGCCAGCUGAUAAACCCAGAAGACUUUGGAGAUUUUCAGGUGUCUGCUAGCACAAAGAAAUGAAGCAUCAAGAUUGAGUUGACAAACCCUAAAUUUGUAAGAAGUGACCGCUGAAAGAAUUUGCGAGAAAUUCUUUGUUAAAAACUACUACGUGCUCUUCGCGGUUGUAAUAAUUACAAAAGGAUUAAAAGGAUAAGAUUGUUAGAAACUAAACGUGGUAACCUCAAAAGCAUUGCAUCUUUCAACCAUUAGAAAGAUUUUUUUUUCAAAGCUGUUAGAAUU
rnacentral:misc_RNA from 1 species